rnacentral:tRNA from 1 species
UAGGGAUGUAGUUAAUAAUAACAUUUGAUUUGCAUUCAAAAGGUACUACCAAAAAGUAGUCUUCCUUAC